rnacentral:rRNA from 4 species
AGAGUUUGAUCCUGGCUCAGGAUGAACGCUAGCGACAGGCUUAACACAUGCAAGUCGAGGGGCAGCACAGGUAGCAAUACCGGGUGGCGACCGGCGCACGGGUGAGUAACGCGUAUGCAACUUGCCUAUCAGAGGGGGAUAACCCGGCGAAAGUCGGACUAAUACCGCAUGAAGCAGGGAUCCCGCAUGGGAAUAUUUGCUAAAGAUUCAUCGCUGAUAGAUAGGCAUGCGUUCCAUUAGGCAGUUGGCGGGGUAACGGCCCACCAAACCGACGAUGGAUAGGGGUUCUGAGAGGAAGGUCCCCCACAUUGGUACUGAGACACGGACCAAACUCCUACGGGAGGCAGCAGUGAGGAAUAUUGGUCAAUGGCCGAGAGGCUGAACCAGCCAAGUCGCGUGAGGGAUGAAGGUUCUAUGGAUCGUAAACCUCUUUUAUAAGGGAAUAAAGUGCGGGACGUGUCCCGUUUUGUAUGUACCUUAUGAAUAAGGAUCGGCUAACUCCGUGCCAGCAGCCGCGGUAAUACGGAGGAUCCGAGCGUUAUCCGGAUUUAUUGGGUUUAAAGGGUGCGUAGGCGGCCUUUUAAGUCAGCGGUGAAAGUCUGUGGCUCAACCAUAGAAUUGCCGUUGAAACUGGGGGGCUUGAGUAUGUUUGAGGCAGGCGGAAUGCGUGGUGUAGCGGUGAAAUGCAUAGAUAUCACGCAGAACCCCGAUUGCGAAGGCAGCCUGCCAAGCCAUUACUGACGCUGAUGCACGAAAGCGUGGGGAUCAAACAGGAUUAGAUACCCUGGUAGUCCACGCAGUAAACGAUGAUCACUAGCUGUUUGCGAUACACUGUAAGCGGCACAGCGAAAGCGUUAAGUGAUCCACCUGGGGAGUACGCCGGCAACGGUGAAACUCAAAGGAAUUGACGGGGGCCCGCACAAGCGGAGGAACAUGUGGUUUAAUUCGAUGAUACGCGAGGAACCUUACCCGGGUUUGAACGCAUUCGGACCGAGGUGGAAACACCUUUUCUAGCAAUAGCCGUUUGCGAGGUGCUGCAUGGUUGUCGUCAGCUCGUGCCGUGAGGUGUCGGCUUAAGUGCCAUAACGAGCGCAACCCUUGCCACUAGUUACUAACAGGUAAAGCUGAGGACUCUGGUGGGACUGCCAGCGUAAGCUGCGAGGAAGGCGGGGAUGACGUCAAAUCAGCACGGCCCUUACAUCCGGGGCGACACACGUGUUACAAUGGCGUGGACAAAGGGAGGCCACCUGGCGACAGGGAGCGAAUCCCCAAACCACGUCUCAGUUCGGAUCGGAGUCUGCAACCCGACUCCGUGAAGCUGGAUUCGCUAGUAAUCGCGCAUCAGCCAUGGCGCGGUGAAUACGUUCCCGGGCCUUGUACACACCGCCCGUCAAGCCAUGGGAGCCGGGGGUACCUGAAGUCCGUAACCGCGAGGAUCGGCCUAGGGUAAAACUGGUGACUGGGGCUAAGUCGUAACAAGGUAGCCGUACCGGAAGGUGCGGCUG